GGGGGAUCGUAAGACCUCGUGCUAUAAGAGUGGCCGAUAUCUGAUUAGCUAGUUGGUGAGGUAAAGGCUCACCAAGGCGACGAUCAGUAGCUGGUCUGAGAGGACGACCAGCCACACUGGAACUGAGACACGGUCCAGACUCCUACGGGAGGCAGCAGUGGGGAAUUUUGGACAAUGGGGGCAACCCUGAUCCAGCAAUGCCGCGUGAGUGAAGAAGGCCUUCGGGUUGUAAAGCUCUUUUGUCAGGGAAGAAACGGUGAGUCCUAAUAUGGCUUGCUAAUGACGGUACCUGAAGAAUAAGCACCGGCUAACUACGUGCCAGCAGCCGCGGUAAUACGUAGGGUGCAAGCGUUAAUCGGAAUUACUGGGCGUAAAGCGUGCGCAGGCGGUUUUAUAAGACAGAGGUGAAAUCCCCGGGCUCAACCUGGGAACUGCCUUUGUGACUGUAAGGCUAGAGUGUGUCAGAGGGGGGUAGAAUUCCACGUGUAGCAGUGAAAUGCGUAGAUAUGUGGAGGAAUACCGAUGGCGAAGGCAGCCCCCUGGGAUAACACUGACGCUCAUGCACGAAAGCGUGGGGAGCAAACAGGAUUAGAUACCCUGGUAGUCCACGCCCUAAACGAUGUCUACUAGUUGUCGGGACUUAAUUGUCUUGGUAACGCAGCUAACGCGUGAAGU
rnacentral:rRNA from 1 species